rnacentral:rRNA from 1 species
ACGCUGGCGGCGUGCCUAACACAUGCAAGUCGAACGGAGCCAGCCCUUCGGGGACUGACUUAGUGGCGAACGGGUGAGUAACGCGUGAGAAACCUGCCUUUCAGUGGGGGACAACAGUUGGAAACGACUGCUAAUACCGCAUAACGUUGCGGGAGGCAUCUUCCUGCAACCAAAGAUUUAUCGCUGAAAGAUGGGCUCGCGUCUGAUUAGAUAGUUGGCGGGGUAACGGCCCACCAAGCCUUCGAUGGAUAGGGGUUCUGAGAGGAAGGUCCCCCACACUGGAACUGAGACACGGUCCAAACUCCUACGGGAGGCAGCAGUGAGGUAAUAUUGGUCAAUGGACGGAAGUCUGAACCAGCCAAGUCGCGUGAAGGAUGAAGGUUCUAUGGAUUGUAAACUUCUUUUGUCUGAGGGUAAAAAAGCGGACGUGUCCGUUCUUGCAAGUAUCAGACGAAUAAGCAUCGGCUAACUCCGUG